rnacentral:rRNA from 1 species
GACGUAGGAGACGAACGUUAUCCGGAGUUACUGGGCGUAAAGGGCGUGUAGGCGGUCUGAUAAGUUCGGCGUGAAAUUUCCCGGCUUAACCGGGGGAUGUCGUCGGAGACUGUCGGACUAGAGGGUGAUAGAGGCGUGUGGAAUUCCGGGUGUAGUGGUGAAAUGCGUAGAGAUCCGGAGGAACACCAGUGGCGAAGGCGACACGCUGGGUCACACCUGACGCUAAAACGCGACAGCAUGGGGAGCAAACGGG